rnacentral:rRNA from 1 species
GGAGUUAGCCGGUGCUUCUUCUGCGAGUAACGUCACAGAUGUAAGGUAUUAACUUACACCCUUUCCUCCUCGCUGAAAGUGCUUUACAACCCGAAGGCCUUCUUCACACACGCGGCAUGGCUGCAUCAGGGUUUCCCCCAUUGUGCAAUAUUCCCCACUGCUGCCUCCCGUAGGAGUCUGGGCCGUGUCUCAGUCCCAGUGUGGCUGAUCAUCCUCUCAGACCAGCUAGGGAUCGUCGCCUAGGUGAGCCUUUACCUCACCUACUAGCUAAUCCCACCUGGGCUUAUCCAUCAGCGCAAGGCCCGAAGGUCCCCUGCUUUCCCCCGUAGGGCGUAUGCGGUAUUAGCAGUCGUUUCCAACUGUUAUCCCCCACAAAUGGGCAAAUUCCCAGGCAUUACUCACCCGUCCGCCGCUCGUCAUCUUCAAAAGCAAGCUUUUGAAAUGUUACCGCUCGACUUGCAUGUGUUAGGCCUGCCGCCAGCGUCAUCUGAGCACGAAUACAAACUACUGA